UACGUAGGUGGCAAGCGUUGUCCGGAUUUAUUGGGUUUAAAGGGUGCGUAGGUGGCCCUGUAAGUCAGUGGUGAAAUAUCUCAGCUUAACUGAGAGGGUGCCAUUGAUACUGCAGGGCUUGAGUACAGAUGAGGUAGGCGGAAUUGACGGUGUAGCGGUGAAAUGCAUAGAUAUCGUCAAGAACACCGAUAGCGAAGGCAGCUUACCAAGCUGUAACUGACACUGAGGCACGAAAGUGUGGGGAUCAAACAGGAUUAGAUACCCUGGUAGUCCACACUGUAAACGUUGAUGACUCGAUGUUGGCGAUACACAGCCAGCGUCCAAGAGCAAUCGUUAAGUCAUCCACCUGGGGAGUACGCCGGCAACGGUG
rnacentral:rRNA from 1 species